rnacentral:rRNA from 1 species
UACGUAGGGUGCAAGCGUUGUCCGGAAUUAUUGGGCGUAAAGAGCUCGUAGGCGGUUGUUUAAGUCUGUUGUGAAGCCCCGGGCUCAACCUGGGAAUGGCAAUGGAUACUGGACAGCUAGAGUGCGGAAGAGGCGAGUGGAAUUCCCGGUGUCGAGCGUGAAUGCGCAGAUAUCGGGAGGAACACCAAUGGCGAAGGCAGCUCGCUGGGACGUGACUGACGCUGAGACGGCGAA